rnacentral:rRNA from 1 species
GGCGAACGGGUGAGUAACGCGUGGGUGAUCUGCCCUGCACUCUGGGAUAAGCCUGGGAAACUGGGUCUAAUACCGGAUAGGACCAUGCUUUAGUGUGUGUGGUGGAAAGUUUUUCGGUGUAGGAUGAGCCCGCGGCCUAUCAGCUUGUUGGUGGGGUAAUGGCCUACCAAGGCGGCGACGGGUAGCCGGACUGAGAGGUUGGUCGGCCACAUUGGGACUGAGAUACGGCCCAG